UGAAUUGGGACUCAGCAGACGUACCAGAUGGUUUCACUAGAGCCUUUUACCAAACAUGCUGGUAAAUCAUUGAAGAAAAUGUGGUCGGCAUGGUCAAGUCUUUCUUCUGCGGUCAACAACUGCCAAAGAGUAUUACGCACACAAACCUGGUUUUGUUGCCAAAGAAAAAAGAAGUGACUACCUUUGCAGACAUGAGACCAAUCACUCUUAGCAACAUUGUUAACAAGAUUUUCUCGCAAGUCAUUCAUGAAAGGUUGGUUGAAUUAUUACCGACCAUAAUCUCAGAGGAACAGGCAGGUUUUGUGAAGGGAAGAAGCAUCGUUGAGAAUGUAAUGCUAACUCAAGAAAUCAUUAAGGAUAUCAGGUUAAGAACAAAAGCAGGUCCAAACAUUGUGAUUAAGCUAGACAUGACAAAAGCUUAUGACUGCUAACUUAAGAAAUCAUUAAGGAUAUCAUGUUAAGAACAAAAGCAGGUCCAAACAUUGUGAUUAAGCUAGACAUGUCAAAACCUUAUGAUAGAUUAUCAUGGCUAUUCCUGACUAAAUUGCAAAAGAAGAUGGGAUUUCCUGAAGAUUUUAUUGAUUUGAUUGGGAAUAAUUGGUUCUCUAUUCUUAUAAAUGGUCAGCCAAAUGGUUUUUUCAAAUCAUCAAGGGGAGUUAAGUAGGGAGACCCUCUGUCACCAACCCUAUUCAUUCUAGCAGCAGAAGCACUGUCUCGAGGUUUCAACUCACUGCAUACUAACCUGUAUUUCCGUGGAUUUGAUCUACAAAAAUGGAGUCCAAAAUAAAACCAUCUUGCAUAUGCAGAUGAUACAAUCAUUUUCUGCUCAUCUUAUGCAACUUUAUUAUCACUUGUGAUGGAGGUUCUGCAAGCUUAUGAAUCAUAAUCUGGUCCUAUGGUGAACAAAGCCAAAUCAGCCAUAUAUCUGCAUCAUUUAACGGAUGAUGAGGUGAUUAACAAGGUGGAAAGGAUUACUGGUGUAGGAAGAAAAUGUUUCCCUAUGAACUAUCUUGGAUGUCCUAAUUUUUAUGCCAGAAGAAGGAGUGAUUAUUACCAGUGUUUAAUUACUAAGGUUAUGGACAAACUACAGACGUGUAAAGGAAAACUCCUAUCUGUAGGAGGCAGGUCUGUAUUGAUCGCAAAUGUCCUGCAGAGUAUACCAAUUCAUAUGUUGUCAGCAGUUAAUCCACCAAGCUAUGUGAUCAACAAAUUACAUAGCACUUUUGCCAAAUUUUUCUGGAGCAACAAUGUGGGAGGAAGCUCAAGACAUUGGUCAUCAUGGACUAACCUGUGUAUGCCAUAUGAGGAGGGGGUAUAGGUUUCAGAUCCCUUCAUGAUGUAUCCAAGGCACUUUUCUGCAAAUUAUGGUGGAAUUUCAGGACAAAUCCAAGCUUAUGGAGUGCAUUUUUGUGUCAAAAAUAUUGCAAGAAAUUAAAUCCUGUAAAUGUACCGUGGAAAAGGGGAUCACACGUGUGGAGAAAAAUUCUUGAAUGCAGGGAUUUGAUUGAGCAUCAAAUCUGCUGGAAAUUGAGAAUGGAAUCGGCUCAAUUUUGGUUCGACAAUUGGAGCAAGAUGGGAGCUUUAUAUUUCCAA
rnacentral:lncRNA from 1 species